GUUGAUUGAGGAUGUAAAGCUUAGGUCUUAAGAUAAGACUGAGUAAGAUUGGUUUCACAUUGUGCAUUUAGGCGGCCAUUUCAAGAGCGAAGAAAUGAGUCAUCGUCUGACAUUGUGAUCAUUACAGUAAAAUCACGGACAGGUUCAAUGUAAAAUAUGAAAAUGACAGACUCUCGACUAAACUUGAAAGAGUUCGUCUGCUUACGUUUUGCAGGGUGACAUUUCACUGUCUUCAGCUCACCAAUUAGAGGUUACAUGCCUCUGAAGCACUGCAACUAUAAAAGAAACAACACCAAGGUAACCUGGAAAAACAUGACGACAGAGUCGGGGAUAAUGCACAUUUCAUGCAGCUCUGGUGACAAUCCGCCAUGGAUAAUUAUUGAUAAUAAGAUGUACGACAUCAGUGGCUACGUGUCCCAGCAUCCAGGAGGUGACAUCAUAUUGAAGCAUGCUGGGAAGGAUGCCACACUCGCCUUCCAGCACCAGCCAGCUCACAGGGUUGUGAAGGGACUGAUUGCAGAAAAACUGAAGACAAUGUAUGUCAAAGAUGUCAGCAAUCCAAGCAGCUGAUCACAAUUUUCUCAGCUUAAAUUGCACAGAACUUUAAAUUAGGCAGCAGAGAUGUCAAAUGUACAGACAUGAUCAUGCACCAAUGGACACUUUGAGGAAAAUAUUGAAUCAUGAUAGAAAUAGAGGUGGACCGUAACAGGUACUAUUAAAAGUUUGAGGGGAUUUACUAGGUUUCAGCAAAAAUAAAUGGACUCUAUGGGAGAUACAGUGUCAAUAAGACAUUUUUUCAUAAGUUAACUUCUGUGAUAGUUGUAAGACAAUGCCUGAUUUUGUGAGUUCAAUCCACCAGCCUCUGAUAAUUAUAUCAAGAGACAAAACAACAGUAUGUGUCUAACUGCAACAAAACAUUUAUUCUCAGAUUCUGGGCUUAUGUAUACAAAUAAGUACUAUGAAAUGAUGUUACGUGAUUAUGUCAGGUCACAU
rnacentral:lncRNA from 1 species